rnacentral:rRNA from 1 species
AACGCCGCGUGAGUGAUGAAGGUUUUCGGAUCGUAAAACUCUGUUGUUAGGGAAGAACAAGUACCGGAGUAACUGCCGGUACCUUGACGGUACCUAACCAGAAAGCCACGGCUAACUACGUGCCAGCACCGUCGGUGACUGAGCGGGCUGGCAAGGCGCAUA